rnacentral:misc_RNA from 1 species
AAGUCGUAACAAGGUUUCCGUAGGUGAACCUGCGGAAGGAUCAUUAACACUUAAAAUAAAAACAAUUUCCCUUUUGAAUCCCUCUCUUUUCUUUUCUCUUUUUCUCUUUGGAGAGACUGAGGAAGUCAAGAGAUUUUCAAAUUUAAUUUGAACAAAAAUGUGUAACCUUACUUUUUUACUUAUGGAUUUGAGGGCACAAGUGAGGGGGGGUUUUCUCUCUCUCUCUCUUUGUGGUUCUCAGAUUUUCUCAUAAACCAGUUAAACCCAAAAACAAAAUAUGGCGUAUCUCAAAGGGACUUUUUGUCUCUCUGACGAUCCCCCAUAGUUAAACCAAAAACAAAAAACCAAAAACAAAAUAAAAACAAAAUAAAACACAACUCUUAACAAUGGAUAUCUUGGUUCUCGC